rnacentral:rRNA from 1 species
UAGGGAAUCUUCGGCAAUGGGGGCAACCCUGACCGAGCAACGCCGCGUGAGUGAAGAAGGUUUUCGGAUCGUAAAGCUCUGUUGUAAGUCAAGAACGAGUGUGAGAGUGGAAAGUUCACACUGUGACGGUAGCUUACCAGAAAGGGACGGCUAACUACGUGCCAGCAGCCGCGGUAAUACGUAGGUCCCGAGCGUUGUCCGGAUUUAUUGGGCGUAAAGCGAGCGCAGGCGGUUUGAUAAGUCUGAAGUUAAAGGCUGUGGCUCAACCAUAGUUCGCUUUGGAAACUGUCAAACUUGAGUGCAGAAGGGGAGAGUGGAAUUCCAUGUGUAGCGGUGAAAUGCGUAGAUAUAUGGAGGAACACCGGUGGCGAAAGCGGUUCUCUGGUCUGUAACUGACGCUGAGACUCGAAAGCAUGGGGAGCGAACAGGAUUAGAUACCCUGGUAGUCCACGCCGUAACGAUGAGUGCUAGGUGUUGGAUCCUUUCCGCGGAUUCAGUGCCGCAGCUAACGCAUUAAGCACUCCGCCUGGGGAGUACGACCGCAAGGUU